UGAGUACGAGACGCUAAGGCGUCGAAGUAGUGGAUGUCAUACUUCCAAGAAAAGCUUGCACUGUCAUAAAUAAAAACGCCUGUACCAUAACCGACACAGGUGGGUAGGUAGAGUAUACUAAGGGGCGCGAGAUAACUCUCUCUAAGGAACUCGGCAAAAUAACUCCGUAACUUCGGGAGAAGGAGUGCCUUAUUCGUAAGGCUGCAAUAACAAGAUCCAAGCAACUGUUUAUCAAAAACACAGGUCUCCGCUAAGUCGUAAGACGAUGUAUGGGGGCUGACGCCUGCCCAGUGCCAGAAGGUUAAAGAAGUCGGUUAGCAUUAGCGAAGCUGGUAACUGAAGCCCUGGUGAACGGCGGCCGUAACUAUAACGGUCCUAAGGUAGCGAAAUUCCUUGUCGGGUAAGUUCCGACCCGCACGAAAGGCGUAAUGAUUUGGAUACUGUCUCGGAGAGGGGCUCGGUGAAAUAGACUUGUCUGUGAAGAUGCGGACUACCUGCACCAGGACAGAAAGACCCUAUGAAGCUUUACUGUAACUUGAAAUUGAAAUUGGACUUUAUUCGCGCAGUAUAGGUGGGAGGUGUUGAUUAUAAUCUUGCGGGAUUAUUGGAGCCAUCAGUGAGAUACCACUCUUGUAAUGUUAGAUUUCUAACUUUGAAUCAUUAUCUGGUCAAAGAACAGUUUCAGGCGGGCAGUUUGACUGGGGCGGUCGCCUCCUAAAUGGUAACGGAGGCGUGCAAAGGUUUCCUCUGAACGGGUAGAAAUCGUAUCUAGAGUGUAAAGGCAUAAGGAAGCUUGACUGUGAGACCUACAAGUCGAGCAGGGACGAAAGUCGGUCUUAGUGAUCUGACGGUACUGAGUGGAAAGGCCGUCACUCAACGGAUAAAAGUUACUCUAGGAUAACAGGCUGAUCUCCCCCAAGAGUUCACAUCGACGGGGAGGUUUGGCACCUCGAUGUCGGCUCAUCGCAUCCUGGGGCGGUAGUACGUCCCAAGGGUUGGGCUGUUCGCCCAUGAAAGCGGUACGCGAGCUGGGUUCAGAACGUCGUGAGACAGUUCGGUCCAUAUCCGGUGUAGGCGUUAGAAUAUUGAGAGGAGCCUUCUUUAGUACGAGAGGACCGAGAAGGACAUACCUCUGGUGUACCAGUUAUCGUGCCAACGGUAGACGCUGGGUAGCUAUGUAUGGAGUGGAUAACCGCUGAAAGCAUCUAAGUGGGAAGCCCACCUCAAGAUAAGUAUUCUCAU
rnacentral:rRNA from 1 species